AGGACGAACGCUGGCGGCGUGCUUAACACAUGCAAGUCGAGCGGAAAGGCCCUUCGGGGUACUCGAGCGGCGAACGGGUGAGUAACACGUGAGUAACCUGCCCCUAGCUCUGGGAUAGCCCCGGGAAACCGGGAUUAAUACCAGAUACGACCACUUUAGACAUCUGUCGUGGUGGAAAGGAUUCCGGCUAGGGAUGGGCUCGCGGCCUAUCAGCUUGUUGGUGGGGUAACGCCUACCAAGGCGACGACGGGUA
rnacentral:rRNA from 1 species